rnacentral:tRNA from 1 species
GGGGUGCAGCUCAGUGGAAGAGUGUCUGCUUGGUGCGCAGAAGGUCCUAGGCUCAAGCUCCAGCAUCCGCCA